GUGCAGGAGAGUAACAUAGGCAGCUCUCUGCUGGCUAGAAGCCAAUGCACCAGAAGAUGCAGUGAAUGCUCAGUUGCAGCUGUUGUGUCUUGGAUCCACCACAGUUGGCUGAAACCGGCAGCUCAGGACAAGUGAACCAGCCAGCAGGACCCAGACCAUUUGACUCGGCUGAUCUUGUGACAAGACUGAGUUGCUGCUGAGUACAACAGCCCUG
rnacentral:lncRNA from 1 species